rnacentral:rRNA from 1 species
AUACGUAGGUGACAAGCGUUAUCCGGAUUUACUGGGCGUAAAGGGCGUGUAGGCGGUCUUGCAAGUCAGAAGUGAAAUUCCUGAGCUCAACUCGGGCGCUGCUUCUGAAACUGCAGGACUUGAGUGCUGGAGGGGAUAGCGGAAUUCCUAGUGGAGCGGUAAAAUGCGCAGAUAUUAGGAAGAACACCGGUGGCGAAGGCGGCUAUCUGGACAGUAACGGACGCUGAGGCGCGAAAGCGUGGGGAGCAAACAGGAUUAGAUUCCCUGGUAGUCCACGCCGUAAACGAUGAAUGCUAGGUGUAGGGGGUAUCGACUCCCUCUGUGCCGCAGUUAACACAAUAAGUAUUCCGCCUGGGGAGUACGGCCGCAAGGUUGAAACUCAAAUGAAUUGACGGGG